UAGAAGUUCCAACAACAAUUGGGAAAUUAUUCAAACAUAAAACAACAUAACUCCUAAUGCAUAUACUUUGCUAAUCCGACACAGUAAAAGUCCAAAAGAUUAGACCAGGAUCCUAUAUCCAUAGAAUCAGUGAGCUCUAUUAUUUGUUUUAGUCGUAUGAAAAAGGUUUCAUAACUCUAAUCACUGUUUAAUUGGACUGUAUAGUUUGUGAUCAAGUUUAUAACAUUUGAAUUGUAGGUUCUUGGAAAAGAACGAAAGCAAAUGAAUGUCCAAGAAACCAUGACUCACCAGGUUUCCCUCCAGACAGCACUGCACUUUCAACUGGUUCUACACCAUAAAUCUAAACACGAAAAGGAAAGAACAAACGCCAAGAUAAGAAACAAUAAAGAAACUAGCAAUACCAAAAAAAAAAAAUGACUUCCACUCCAAAUCAAGCAAUGCGGAGAAGUGAACCUUUAUAUCAGGGUUUUGUUCCUUGAGAUACUUCGCUGCACCUGUUAUUGUUCCCCCAGUCCCUAUCCCAGAAACAAAGGCAUCAACUUUCCCACCUGACCCUUUCCACAUCUCCGGUCCAGUUGUCUCAUAGUGAAUCUGACCAGGCAACAUCAGUAUGAUUGCAAUUCUCUCAAAUCAGCAAGUCAGAAAACGUGCGAAAUGAAAACAAAUGGCACCUUUGGGUUGGCAGGAUUUUCAAAUUGUUGCAGAAUAUAAGCAUUAGGUGUCUUUGCCAAUAUCUCUUCAGCCUUCUGAACAGCCCCAUUUAUGCCCCUGGCAGGAUCAGUAAGGAUCAACUCAGCUCCAAAAGCAAGGAGAACCAUUCUUCUCUCUAGACUCAUUGAUGCAGGCAUGGUAAUGAUCAGUCUGUAGCCCUUAGCAGCUGCCAUGAAUGCCAGCCCUAUGCCAGUGUUGCCACUCGUAGGCUCAAUCAGGACACUCUUCAGCAUUAAGAAAGAAAACCAUGUCAACACGCGAGUUCCUUUGUAAUGACAUUCGCGCUAUUUUGUAAGCAAUGAACAGAAAACGGAUCAGUUGACUGUCAAUGUCUGGACUAGGUCAUUACAAGGGUUGGCAACUAAUAAUUAAAUAUCCAUUAAUGUAUCAUACCUGCCAGCAGAAAAUGAUUUUCUGAUGCAACGAAGUCUUAAGCCAAGACAUGUAUUGAUCAAUUUUCAAUAGCUAUAUAUAACAUAUCACUCAAUUUCAAAGCAAAACAACCCAACUUGGACUUAAAAUUCAUGUAUCGUAUCUGUUCAAGUAGGAUUGAAUCACCAACCUCGCCCGGCUUGAUUAGACCCUUCUCCUCUGCAUCUUUGAUCAUACUAUACCCAAUCCUACAAACAAGGGAAGAAAGACAAGAAGAAGAAUUUCAAGCUGAGCAAACCAAAAUCUCAUUAAUGAUGAUGUUCUAAAGGCCCCAUUGUUACUUGUUGAGCAAAUCCAAUUCCAGCUUUGGAUUCAGAAACACAUUUGAAGUACCCGGAAACAGAAACAUAUUAAAUUUCGACAGCAAAGGAAGAUUUUCGGCCUUGGCAACCAAAUAAACCUGAUCGUAGCCAAGUUAAUAUAUAAAGCAUACCGAUCUCAACUUUCCAACAAAGAACAACAGAAAUCUAACUAAUACCUAUCUUUGACACUUGAGCAAGGUUCCAUCAUCUCCAGCUUGGCAGCAAUACGCGCCACACAACCAUCCACAACAUUGUUGAGAUACACCAAUGGUGUUUUACCGAUAAGCUAUAUUGGACCAAGUACAAAAGAAUAUAUAAGCCAGGGCUCCCAUAUCAAAGCACCUCAAGAACAAAUUCAACAAUUUUUGAAAUGGCAAUGGAGUCAACUUACUUCAGUAACAUCUUUGGCAAUUGAACCCUUCUCCUCUGCCAUUUUUUGUUCCGGUUACUGCACAAGCAUAGAACACACGGAGUGAUCAACAACAAAAAAACAAGCUAAAAAGGACAAACCUUUACAGAAAAAAUAGCAGAUACUGCAACCAUUUGAACAAUUCACCAAAACACAAUUUAGUUUAUAAGGAAAUGAUUCAGGAACUCCAAGUUUCAAUUGCGACACUCUUGCACCCACAAAAACAAACAUUAUAAACCAAAAAAAUAUAUAGCAUCAACCCAGAAAAAAAGAAUUCUCUCCUCAUGGCCCAUGGGAGUGCGACGUAAAUGAAAGUUGAUCAAAAUUUAUUUAUUUCUGUUUAAAAUUUAUUUUUUUAUUUUUGAAUGGUUUUAAUGUGUUUUUUCAAAAUUAAAACUUAGAAAAAAUUAAAAAAAUAUAUUAUUUUUAUAUAUUUUGAAAACAAAAAAGAUACAACACUCACGUGCACCGACAAACCCUUCACCAAAAUCCAUGAACUGAUGAACAACUAAACCUUGUAGAAUCCAGCAUCAACACAUAUAAUAUCAAAGAGUAAAAAUUAAGAAAAGCAAUACAUCAAACCUUGAGAUUCUUGAACUUUAAACAAUGUAAGUUUCCAAGCUAAAAUCUUUCUUUCAAGAAAAAACAGAGAAAUGAAAGAAAGUCAGAUAUUCGAUGGACUUCAAGGAGCCUUAAGAGAACUUACCAAGAAAUCCUUUUCUAUCUAUAUAUAGAGAGAACAAGGAGAGUAGGGAGCUUCUUGCAAUGAAAGAGCAAUAGUAGCUGGCUGAUAUAUACUGAUCUUUUAGCAUAUUUUUUAUACAAAUUUAUUUUAAAUUAAUUUUUGUAAGUGUAGUUGUCAAAGGUUUAGCUUCUAGUGUGAUUGUCAAAGUGAAGCUUUUGACCUGACCAAUCUUGUCUUCGUUCGUAACAGGUAAUUCCACUCGUCUUUGUUUUUGUCCUUUCCAUCUUCUUUUUUACGUCAUUAUUGAUUAUCUUAAAUAAAAAUGGGUCUUUUAAUGGUGGACUUUUCUUUGAUGGGUGCCCUUAGCAUCAUCAAUACUAAACUUGUCCUGCACGACGGAUAGACUUGGGAUUCAUCUUCGCAGAGAAAGAAUUAUAAUGAUUAUGAAUAAAAAAGAAAAAAGAGAUCGAUUAGAUGUUUUAAGAUAUUUAUUUAUUUUUUAUAUUUUGAGAUUGUCAUAGUUCAAAUUUAUUGAUUUUUUUAAAUAUGUUUGAUAUUUUAAAAAAAUUAUUAUUAAUAUUUAAAUUGAUUUAAGAGUAUCCCUUAUUGUUGGAAAAGAAAAAAUAUAAUUACCCACUGACAGCUUAUUGUUAAUUAUCAAGAAGAUGUAUCUCCUUUGAUUACAGGAUUCGCUCUAGAGUAUUUUAUAUAUAUAUAUAUAUAUAUAUAUAUAUAUAUAUAUAUAUAUAUAUAAUUGCUUUGGUGAUAGGAUCAUUAUCAUUUUAAAUUUAUUAAAAAAAUUAAAUACAUAAAAAACCAUAUAAAAUGUAUAUAUUUAAAAUAACUUGACUUUAGCUAAUGUUUAGGCCAGGAGUGUUAAUGAAUAUAGCAAGUCAUAUUUGGAUUUAUAAUUUUAUUCAGUUUAAUUUUUAAUAUUUUAUAAAUUAUAAACUCAAUUUAUCUAGAAGAAAGUUUGAAUUUGAACGAGCUAAAUAUAUCAGGCUGGAUUAAAUUUUUUAUAAAUAUUAUAAAUAUUUAUAAGUUGGAUUUAUAUUAUUAAUUUUUAUGAGUUAUACUCAAUUGGAAUACCUUGCACCCACAAAAACUAUCAUUAUAAACCAAAAAAUAUACAGCAUCAAUCUAGAAAAAAAAAAAUUCUCUCCUCAUGAUUCCUGUUUAAGAGUGCGGCUCAAAUGCAAGUUAAUCAAAAUUUAUUUUUUAUUUAAAAUUAAUUAUUUUUUGAUAUUUUGAAUUGUUCUGAUAUUUUAUUGUCAAAAAUAAAUAUUAAAAAAUAAAAAAUAUAUUAUUUUAAUAUAUUUUUAAAUAAAAAAUACUUUAAAAAACAAAAACAACAACAUUCACAAUCACUCCCCAAACCCUUCACCAAAAUCCAUGAACCGAUGAACAACUAAACCUUCUAGAAUCCAGCAUCAACACAUAUAACAUCAAAGAGUAAAAACUGAGAAAAGCUAUACAUCAAACCUUGAGAUUCUUGAACUUCAAACUAUGUAACUUCCAAGCUAAAAUCUUUCCUACAAGAAAAAACAGAGAAAUGAAAGAAAGUCAGAUAUUCGAUGGACUUAAGAGAACUUGCCAAGAAAUCCUUGAGAGAGAACAAGGAAAGUAUGAAGCUUCUUGCACGAAAGAGCAAUAGUAGCUGGCUCAUCUUUUAGCAUAUUUUUUCUACAAAUUUAUUUUAAAUUAAUUUUCCUCGUCCGGCUAUUUUCAGUAUCGUUCUUGUUUAUAUAUAUAUAUAUUGUAUGUAUUUGUGAAGUGUAGUUGUCAAAGGUUUAGCUUCUAGUGUGAUUGUCAGAGUGAAGCUUUUGACCUGACCUGUCUUGUCUUUGUUCGUAACAGGUAAUUCCACUUGUCUUCGAUUUUGCCUUUUCCUUCUCUUUUUUGACGUCAUUAUUGAUUAUCUUAAAUAAAAAUGGGUCUUUUAAUGGUGGACUUUCCUCUGAUCUGUGUCCUUAGCAUCAUGAAUACUAAACUUGUCUUGCACGACGGAUAGACUUGGGAUUCAGCCGAUCAGGUUUCAGAUUUUCAGUAACAGUGACCGAUUGGGAUUGCGAUUACUUAUGUUUUUAAAUGUUUUUUAAAAGUGUUUUUAUUUUAAAAUAUUUUAAAAUAAUCUUUUUAAUUUUUUUUUACUUUUAAUAAAAGCUUAUCAAAAUAAUUAUAAAGCAAUUAAAAAAAAUUAAUUUAAUAAAAAUAAAUAUACUUAUGAAAUCUAUUCAAACAUAGUUAUAAAUAUGAUGUAGAAUAGAUAUUUAUAAUUCAAGUCAGGUUUAAAAAAGAAAUUAAUUUAGAAUUAACACGGCCAAAACGCUAUUGGGCAAAAAUUGAAAAUUAUUUUUGUUUAAAAUUUAUUUUUUUAGGUUUUUUUUCUAGUUUUGAUGUGAUAAUAUCAAAAAUAAAUUUUAAAAAAUAAAAAAAAUAUUAUUUUAAUAUAUUUUUUAACAAAAAAAUACUUUGAAAAGUAAGAUGUACCACAAUAACAAUCACUACCUUAAUUGACAUGGUUAAAAUUAAAAAAAAUAUAUUUAAAACAAUGUUGUUAUUUAUUAUUCUAGGUUUACUUACGCAACCAAUAAAUCAAUAAACCAAAUCUUAAGUUGGGUCGGAUUUAAAUAAUUUUCUUCUCAUACAUGUUAUAUAUAUGAGAUCACAUCUAAUGACUAUCAUUAGAAGUUGAUAUGGUUUCAAUGACUAUUUUAAAGCAAAUUAAAAACUUCUGAAAUAAUUAAAUAAAACUAAAAAUUAAGUUCUGUCUCAUCCACAUCUAUAUCUAUAUGUGUGUGUGUGUGUGUUUUUGCAGACCUUGGAUUUAAAUUUUAAUAAUUAAUAUUGAUUCCCUUCAAGUAUGGCAUUAUCUCUUAAAUAGCAACUAGCAAUUAAAAACACCGUGGGCUCCGAGCCUGUUACUAUGGGCAUCCACCGAUCCCAGACUCAUCUCCGCAUAUGAAGAAUUAUAAUGAUUGUGAAUAAAAAAAGAAAAAGAAAUUGAUUUGAUGUUUAAGGAUAUUUAUUUAUUUAUUAAAUUGAUUUAAGAAUAUCCCAAUUUCUCAGAAAAUAAAAUAAAAAUUUCGUGUGGAUAUUCGCAAGUUGGACUUGUAUUACUAAUUUUUAUGAAUUAGACUUAAUUAGAACUUAUUGUUGAUGAUCAAGACGUAUCUGUUGUGGUUCUCAGGAAUCCUCUGUAGAGUGCUAUAUUAUCAUCACAGUCAGGAAUGCAUGUCACGAAGAAUUGGAUGUUGGAAACUAGCACGAUGCUUAACAGGAUUUGGAGUACACAUGAAACUGCAGAUUUUAUGGGCUAAUAAAGUGCCGUUUUAGAAAUUCAACAGACAAAUCAUCAUUUGACUGAGCUGGGAAGUAGGACAUUAGUUUGAAUUCAGCAUCAAGAAGGGAAGAGACCUUCCAUUGCUAGGUUCUCAAGCAUUUUCUGUGGAAAAGUGCUCAAGGCAUGCAUUUGAAAGAACUCUAAGAAAUGAGGGGAAAGAAACUAUAGCAUGACUCGUAUAUUCGGCUUCUAGUCCAUGGAGAAGAACAUCUUAAAAUAGAUGUUGGCAGAACAUACCAGCAAACANNNNNNNNNNNNNNNNNNNNNNNNNNNNNNNNNNNNNNNNNNNNNNNNNNNNNNNNNNNNNNNNNNNNNNNNNNNNNNNNNNNNNNNNNNNNNNNNNNNNNNNNNNNNNNNNNNNNNNNNNNNNNNNNNNNNNNNNNNNNNNNNNNNNNNNNNNNNNNNNNNNNNNNNNNNNNNNNNNNNNNNNNNNNNNNNNNNNNNNNNNNNNNNNNNUCGAUUGCCCCGUUGGAUACAUAAGUAAUUUUCUUUUUUAACUCUAUCAGCUCUUGAUGUUUGCACAACAAAUUUAAACAAGUUCCUUCCCAACAAUUGGAUUUGUAAGCAACAAGACAUUGAUGCUAAUCUGGCAAUUUGAAUCUGUAAACCAAGAUUCUACUUUGAUGCAUCCAACCUGAGAGAACCUAGCUAGGUAGAGAUGUGUAUACGCCAGCUUUAUGAUUAUUUUUCUCAUUCAAACCUCUUCUAGCUGAGACCCGUCCUAGCCUUGACUAGACUAUGUCUCAUGAGGUUUAGCCGGGUUGGUUAUGUUUCAUAUCUGGUUAAACUAAGGAUUAGCAGGCGCAUGCAUGGGUUUUAACUUUUAACAGUGUUUGAUGUGCCGCCAUGAAGAAGGUAGACGAUGACAUGAUGUGAAAUGCAUAAAGAAGAUUCCCACAUCGAGAAAACAUAAGACGUGGGGCAAGGCAUGGGAAUAUAAAUAGGAAGCUCAAAGCAACGGGAAACAUACUUACCUGGACGGGGUCGAUGGGCGAUCAGGAAGGUCCAUGGCCUAGGUCAGUGACGUCCAUUGCACUGAGGAUGGGUGCUGGCUUAAGGUCUCCCCAAGUGGGAGAUCCUACGUCAAAAUUUGUGGCAGAGGGGGCUGCGCAAGUCGCGGCCCCUGUCCAAUUCUAAUAUCAAACAUUUUGCUAUGAGUCUUUCUAAUUUGAAGCCUCAUCUGAACUUGUUCGGCGCCGGAGAUAGUAGCUGAGGCUCCGAGCAUUGAGAGUAGAUGUUGCGUUGAUCAUAGAAACAUUGGACACUUGAAGAAAUGCGAUGCCUGAGAUAUCGAUCAGGAAUAAUUAAUUAAGACCAAAAAAGAAGUCUGUCUCAUCCACCUGCAUAUAUAUCUGUGUGUUUUUUGUGAUGUGAUAAUGUCUAACAGCUUUUCUUCUUCUUUUUUGCAGACCUUGGAUUUAAAUUUUAAUAAUGGGUGUGCUUGGAUGAAAAUAAUUUUUAAAAUAAAAAAUUAUUAAAUUCAAUGAAAAUAAAGAAAUUCAAGAUCCAAAUUGCAUAUUGGCUAGUUAACUUAAUUAACUCUUUUUUUUUUUUUUAUCGAUUUUCUUAUCUCUAGUUUCACAACAUUAUGAUUAAGUUUUUAAUAACAUAAUAUACUAUCAACGGGACUUUGUUUGAUCUCACAACACUAUGAUUAAAGUUUCUUAAUCCAUCGCACAAGCCCUUUGUUAAUAUAUACAGAUACACAGAGCAGAAAAGCCUCCGCAUCAGGCUCCUAUAAGCCAUGCUCUCCACCUCAAGGCACAAAAACCAUGUUCUCCGCCUCCUUCUUCACCGAUUCGAAAAGCACGGAGGAUAGGUAACGCUCCCCAAAGCUAGGGAAGAUCGUCUGUUUACAUUAGAAAAAAUGGUAAGACGCACAGAACAAAACACCAACAAAGGCCAAGCACUAGAAGGUAUUCAGAAAGAUACGGCAUGUGCUAAACGCAAUGCUGCUAAGCUUUGCCAAAGAAUAUGGUACUUAUCAUCACUAUUACCGUGCUUGAAGAUUUUCUAUCACCUAUAAUCGUUCAAGAACAUUCAUUAUUUGAAUAGAUAAUUUCAUCAUAAAAAAUAUCAAGGGAAAUGGUUGCUAGAUUGGCAAUGAACUUUACUAUUUGGAAACAAAUUUGUUUCAUCUAAGGGAUAGCUUUGGGCAGCAGGCUCACUAGCAAGUUGCAGAUGGAUCUACUUCAAAAGGAAGAAAAUCAAACUUACAACAAUGAGUUUUCCAGCAUUUUCAGGCCUCUUUGCUAUCUCAAUGGCAGCAGCUGCAGCAGCUCCAGAUGAUAUCCCCACCUGAAAUCCAAAUGAUGCCCUCAAAAGAAUUCUUGAUUAAAGUCAAACCCAGAAAAUAUGAUCCAGUUAACAGAGUGGAGUGCUGUAGAGUUCUGGGUUCCUUCUUGCAACAAAUAUCAAAUAAUUGUAAGCUUACCAGCAAUCCUUCUUUCAAGGCAAGAAGCUUUGCAGUUUCAAUGGCUUCUUCACUUGAUAUCUGCAAAGUCAUAUAACGAUCCAGUCUCUCAGGUAGCAGCGCAGCAAGGCAAUAAAAAGGAAGAAACAAAAAACAAACGGUAUUUUCUCUUAAGGAAUAAAUCAGAGCAUGCGACAAAGAUUAGACUUGAGGAACUUGGAUUUGUAUAAGAUGGAGUAGGAAUACGUUUUGGGAAUUAUGUAAGAGAACACAGACUUACUUGAACAGUUUCAUCAAGUAAACCGACAUCCAAAACCGCAGGGAUGAAGCCAGCGCCAAUUCCCUGGAUCUUAUGUGGACCUUGGAUCCAUUCCAGAAAACAAUGAUAUGUUAGUCCAAUCAUGAAUACAUGGAAAAGGCAGCUGCUUCAAGAGGACAGAAUCAUAUGGGACAUGUCCAAUUGUGAAAAAUGUUGUGCAAGGUUUUGAAUAUUUAUCUUAAAGGAAUGCAAGACAGAUGGCUUAGAAGUUCCAACAACAAUUGGGAAAUUAUUCCAACAUAAAACAACAUAACUCCUAAUGCAUAUACUUUGCUAAUCCGACACAGUAAAAGUCCAAAAGAUUAGACCAGGAUCCUAUAUCCAUAGAAUCAGUGAGCUCUAUUAUUUGUUUUAGUCGUAUGAAAAAGGUUGCAAAACUCUAAUCACUGUUUAAUUGGACUGUAUAGUUUGUGAUCAAGUUUAUAACAUUUGAAUUGUAGGUUCUUGGAAAAGAACGAAAGCAAAUGAAUGUCCAAGAAACCAUGACUCACCAGGUUUCCCUCCAGACAACACUGCACUUUCAACUGGUUCUACACCAUAAAUCUAAACACGAAAAGGAAAGAACAAACGCCAAGAUAAGAAACAAUAAAGAAACUAGCAAUACCAAAAA
rnacentral:lncRNA from 1 species